ACAAGCAGUCGAGCGGACAGAUGGGAGCUUGCUCCCUGAUGUUAGCGGCGGACGGGUGAGUAACACGUGGGUAACCUGCCUGUAAGACUGGGAUAACUCCGGGAAACCGGGGCUAAUACCGGAUGCUUGUUUGAACCGCAUGGUUCAAACAUAAAAGGUGGCUUCGGCUACCACUUACAGAUGGACCCGCGGCGCAUUAGCUAGUUGGUGAGGUAAUGGCUCACCAAGGCAACGAUGCGUAGCCGACCUGAGAGGGUGAUCGGCCACACUGGGACUGAGACACGGCCCAGACUCCUACGGGAGGCAGCAGUAGGGAAUCUUCCGCAAUGGACGAAAGUCUGACGGAGCAACGCCGCGUGAGUGAUGAAGGUUUUCGGAUCGUAAAGCUCUGUUGUUAGGGAAGAACAAGUACCGUUCGAAUAGGGCGGUACCUUGACGGUACCUAACCAGAAAGCCACGGCUAACUACGUGCCAGCAGCCGCGGUAAUACGUAGGUGGCAAGCGUUGUCCGGAAUUAUUGGGCGUAAAGGGCUCGCAGGCGGUUUCUUAAGUCUGAUGUGAAAGCCCCCGGCUCAACCGGGGAGGGUCAUUGGAAACUGGGGAACUUGAGUGCAGAAGAGGAGAGUGGAAUUCCACGUGUAGCGGUGAAAUGCGUAGAGAUGUGGAGGAACACCAGUGGCGAAGGCGACUCUCUGGUCUGUAACUGACGCUGAGGAGCGAAAGCGUGGGGAGCGAACAGGAUUAGAUACCCUGGUAGUCCACGCCGUAAACGAUGAGUGCUAAGUGUUAGGGGGUUUCCGCCCCUUAGUGCUGCAGCUAACGCAUUAAGCACUCCGCCUGGGGAGUACGGUCGCAAGACUGAAACUCAAAGGAAUUGACGGGGGCCCGCACAAGCGG
rnacentral:rRNA from 1 species